rnacentral:rRNA from 1 species
GACGAACGCUGGCGGCGCGCCUAACACAUGCAAGUCGAACGAGCGAGAGAGAGCUUGCUUUCUCGAGCGAGUGGCGAACGGGUGAGUAACGCGUGAGGAACCUGCCUCAAAGAGGGGGACAACAGUUGGAAACGACUGCUAAUACCGCAUAAGCCCACGGCUCGGCAUCGAGCAGGGGGAAAAGGAGCAAUCCGCUUUGAGAUGGCCUCGCGUCCGAUUAGCUAGUUGGUGAGGUAACGGCCCACCAAGGCGACGUUCGGUAGCCGGACUGAGAGGUUGAACGGCCACAUUGGGACUGAGACACGGCCCAGACUCCUACGGGAGGCAGCAGUGGGGAAUAUUGCACAAUGGGGGAAACCCUGAUGCAGCGACGCCGCGUGGAGGAAGAAGGUCUUCGGAUUGUAAACUCCUGUUGUUGGGGAAGAUAAUGACGGUACCCAACAAGGAAGUGACGGCUAACUACGUG